UACGGAGGGGGCUAGCGUUGUUCGGAAUUAUUGGGCGUAAAGGGCGCGUAGGCGGCCACGCACGUCCGUUGUGAAAUCGCCCGGCUCAACUGGGCGGGGUCAGCGGAUACGGUGUGGCUAGAGCAAGCUAGGGGGCAAUGGAAUUCCCGGUGUAGUGGUGGAAUGCGUAGAUAUCGGGAGGAACACCAGUGGCGAAGGCGGUUGCCUGGAGCUUUGCUGACGCUGAUGCGCGAAAGCGUGGGGAGCGAUCCGG
rnacentral:rRNA from 1 species